AUGGAGUUCACCUCCGCGGAUAUCUUUCAGCACUCGCCCUUCGGUGACAUACUGAACUCAUUAAGGUCUCUCUCCCUAUCAGGAGAGUCCUGGCCGAACUAUGUUUGGCAGGAUUGGGAUGCGGAUGACGAAGAAAUUCGCCGCCCACCCACCACCCACUUAGUAGCCACCGUCGACAAUUUGACCGACAUGCUCGACUUCGAAUCCGAAGACAUCGACGGUAUGGACGACGAUGCGGGAGACGAAGAGGAACCACUGCCCACAGGGCAUUGGACAACCACCUCAUCAUAUGAUAUAUACAUGGUGGACACAUCCAAAGAAGGCAAUGGCGAUGAGACAGCGGAGGAUGACCCCUCCAAGAAGCAACCCAAGCGCCGGCGUCAGCGGCGCCACUCUAAGUCUCGCCAAAGCAAAAGCGGUGACACCGGCACAGGAGAUAACAACACUCCAGACAGUGCCGAAGACGACAACAAUCCCCUCCAGCAAGAUUUAGAGUAG
rnacentral:rRNA from 1 species